CAGAGAAUCUGCAAUUGAGGGACAUGUGCCUUCUAUCUUCUGCCAGCCCAUCACGCUUCACCUUCACAUCUAAAUUGUUAUUUUCGAAAGCAGAAGAAGGUGAUUAUGUUGUUGACAGAAGAUAGAGGGCACAUGCGCUUACUUUCAGAGAAUCUG
rnacentral:pre_miRNA from 1 species